rnacentral:rRNA from 1 species
GACGAACGCUGGCGGCGUGCUUAACACAUGCAAGUCGAACGGAAAGGCCAUGCUCUUGCGGGGCGCACGUGUGCCGCACGCGGGAGUAACACGUGUGUAACCUGUCCCUGUCUUUGGGAUAACUUCAGGAAAAAGGGGAUCAUAUCGCAUAGGAGAUCCUGAAGCACGGGGGGGGAUGGUAAGAUUCGGCGGUUGUGGAUAGACUAGCGGCUUAUCAGCUUGUUGGUGGGGUUGUGGCUUACCAAGGCUAUGACGGGUAGCCGGCAUGAGAGCGUGACCGGCCACAUUGGGACUGAGGUACGGCGCAGUCUCCUAUGGGAGGCAGCAGUGGGGAAUAUUGCACAAUGGGCGGAAGCCUGAUGUAGCAGCGCCGCGUGCGGGAUGACGGCCUUCUAGUUGUAAACCGCUGUCGCCGUUGACGAAGCGUGCGUGACGGUAAUGAAUAAAGAAGCACCGGCUAACUACGUG